rnacentral:rRNA from 1 species
GCAUAUCCAUAAGCGGAGGAAAAAGAAACCAACAGGGAUUGCCCCAGUAACGGCGAGUGAAGCGGCAACAGCUCAAAUUUGAAAUCUGGCCCCUCGGGCCCGAGUUGUAAUUUGUAGAGGAUGCUUUUGGCAAGGUGCCGCCCGAGUUCCCUGGAACGGGACGCCACAGAGGGUGAGAGCCCCGUCUGGCUGGCCGCCGAGCCUCUGUAAAGCUCCUUCGACGAGUCGAGUAGUUUGGGAAUGCUGCUCAAAAUGGGAGGUAUAUGUCUUCUAAAGCUAAAUAUUGGCCAGAGACCGAUAGCGCACAAGUAGAGUGAUCGAAAGAUGAAAAGCACUUUGAAAAGAGGGUUAAACAGUACGUGAAAUUGUUGAAAGGGAAGCGCUCAUGACCAGACUUGGGCUUGGCGGAUCAUCCGGCGUUCUCGCCGGUGCACUUCGCCUCGCCCAGGCCAGCAUCAGUUCGCGCCGGGGGACAAAAGCUUCGGGAAUGUGGCUCCUCCGGGAGUGUUAUAGCCCGUUGCAUAAUACCCUGGUGCGGACUGAGGUCCGCGCAUCUGCAAGGAUGCUGGCGUAAUGGUCAUCAGCGACCCGUCUUGAAACACGGACCAAGGAGUCGUCUUCGUAUGCGAGUGUUCGGGUGUCAAACCCCUACGCGUAAUGAAAGUGAACGCAGGUGAGAGCUUCGGCGCAUCAUCGACCGAUCCUGAUGUUCUCGGAUGGAUUUGAGUAAGAGCAUACGGGGCCGGACCCGAAAGAAGGUGAACUAUGCCUGUAUAGGGUGAAGCCAGAGGAAACUCUGGUGGAGGCUCGCAGCGGUUCUGACGUGCAAAUCGAUCGUCAAAUAUGGCAUGGGGCGAAAGACUAAU